rnacentral:sRNA from 1 species
AUCUGCUUUAUUUGUGACUGUCAACAACAUAUUUUACACAUUUCCCUGUUUAGAUUUUUUUUAGUGUGUUAAAAGCUGUUCAAUUUGCACAUUGAAUCAGUGACAAUGUGGAGUGCCGCCAAAAACAGGGACAAGGUUGUUUUGGCUAAUGAUGCUACAAUUGAUCAGAUUCCUCUAUAUAAUUCUGAACAAUUUGAAUCUUUUUUGGAUGACUUGAAUAGAGAUAGAGAUCAAGAUGAAGAAAUUCUUAAAAGAUUUGAAGAAGAAACUACAAGUGAUGAAAACAAACGUGAACUCUUCAUGGAGAUGACAUCAAGAAUUGGAUUUAGAAAAAAAAAUUGAAUACCUGCAUUGAGGCCAUUGAAAAAAACAAAGAAAUACAAAGAAAAGCACAAGACAAUUUGAAAGAAAAGGCUUCUAAAGAAGACAAGAUAGACUUGUUACUGCAGAUCAAAUUAAUAGAAAGCGACUUGAAAUACAAAGAUAUUUUUAUUUCAUUGGCCAAAGAGGAACAGAAAAGAGAAGAGCUGUACAAAAACAAAGCCAUGAAGAUUAUAUUAGCUACAUGUGUCAAUAAUGAGUUUGAAAAUGAAGAGCAGUCAUAAAAAAAAAGCACUUGUUUAUUGAACUUUUGAUGCAAGAUGAAGGACGGGACUUUAUCAAGUACUUUGUACUAUCAAAUGAUACACUUCCCUAAGUGUCAGACUUUUCUGCUCUCUGUUACUCACUAAAACUAUUGCUAUUGUUUUUAUUGCAAUGAGCCUUAUCAUGAACAGCUGAAUUCUAUUCUAUUAAAUAAAACAAAAUUAA